rnacentral:rRNA from 1 species
CUCGCGUGUCUAUUACCAGAAGCGACGGCAGGAUGAAGGUCAGACUAAAGGUCUUGCCAGACGAGCCGAGAGGUAGUGCAUGGCGAUCGUCAGCUCGUGGUAGUGAACUGUCCGGUUAAGUCCGGUAACGAGCGAGACCACUGCUAACAGUUGCAACUGUGUCAGAGAUGACAUGGGCACUCUGUUGGGACCGCCUCUGUUUAAAGAGGAGGAAGGAAGUGGCAACGGUACGUCAGUAUGCCUCUGAAUCCGUCCCGGGCUACACGCGGCAUAACAAAGGUCGGUACAAGUGGGAUGCAACUCCGAAAGGAGAAGCAAACUCCCCCGAAAACCGUCCUAAGUUCGAUCGAGGGUUGAAACUCACCCUGAUGAAGCUGGAAUCCCUAGUAAUCGCGUGUCAU